rnacentral:rRNA from 1 species
GGUCAUGGCUCAGGAUGAACGCUAGCGGCAGGCUUAACACAUGCAAGUCGAGGGGCAGCAUAAUGGAUAGCAAUAUCUAUGGUGGCGACCGGCGCACGGGUGCGUAACGCGUAUGCAACCUACCUUUAACAGGGGGAUAACACUGAGAAAUUGGUACUAAUACCCCAUAAUAUCAUAGAAGGCAUCUUUUAUGGUUGAAAAUUCCGAUGGUUAGAGAUGGGCAUGCGUUGUA